GAUGAACGCUGGCGGCGUGCCUAAUACAUGCAAGUCGAGCGAACGGACGAGAAUCUUGCUGCUCUUAUGUUAGCGGCGGACGGGUGAGUAACACGUGGAUAACCUACCUAUAAGACUGGGAUAACGUCGAGAAACCGGAGCUAAUACCGGAUAAUAGUUUGAACCGCAGGGUUCAAAAGUGAAAGGCGGUCUUGCUGUCACUUGUAGAUGGAUCCGCGCUGCAUUAGCUGGUUGGUAAUGUAGCGGCUUACCAAGGCAACGAUGCAUAGCCGACCUGAGGGGGUGAUCGGCCACACUGGAACUGAGACACGGUCCCGACUCCUACGGGAGGCAGCAGUAGGGAAUCUUACGCAAUGGGCGAAAGCCUGACGGAACAGCGCCGCGUGAGUGAUGAAGGUCUUCGGAUCGUAGAUCUCUGUUACUAGGGAAGAACAUAUGUGUAAGUAAUUGUGCACAUCGUGACGGUACCUAAUCAGAAAGCCACGGCUAACUACGUG
rnacentral:rRNA from 1 species